UCGAGCGGAAACGAGUUAACUGAACCUUCGGGGAACGUUAACGGCGUCGAGCGGCGGACGGGUGAGUAAUGCCUGGGAAAUUGCCCUGAUGUGGGGGAUAACCAUUGGAAACGAUGGCUAAUACCGCAUAAUAGCUUCGGCUCAAAGAGGGGGACCUUCGGGCCUCUCGCGUCAGGAUAUGCCCAGGUGGGAUUAGCUAGUUGGUGAGGUAAUGGCUCACCAAGGCGACGAUCCCUAGCUGGUCUGAGAGGAUGAUCAGCCACACUGGAACUGAGACACGGUCCAGACUCCUACGGGAGGCAGCAGUGGGGAAUAUUGCACAAUGGGCGCAAGCCUGAUGCAGCCAUGCCGCGUGUGUGAAGAAGGCCUUCGGGUUGUAAAGCACUUUCAGUCGUGAGGAAGGUGGUGUCGUUAAUAGCGGCAUUAUUGACGUUAGCGACAGAAGAAGCACAGGCUAACUCCGUGCCAGCAGCCGCGGUAAUACGGAGGGUGCGAGCGUUAAUCGGAAUUACUGGGCGUAAAGCGCAUGCAGGUGGUUAGUUAAGUCAGAUGUGAAAGCCCGGGGCUCAACCUCGGAACUGCAUUUGAAACUGGCUGACUAGAGUACUGUAGAGGGGGGUAGAAUUUC
rnacentral:rRNA from 1 species